rnacentral:rRNA from 1 species
AUAGGAGGUCCCGCCUGCCCUGUGACCAAAAGUUUAACGGCCGCGGUAUUUUAACCGUGCAAAGGUAGCGCAAUCAAUUGUCUUUUAAAUGGAGACCUGUAUGAAUGGCAUAACGAGGGUUUAACUGUCUCUUUUUUCUGGUCAAUGAAACUGAUCUGCCCGUGCAGAAGCGGGCAUACUAACACAAGACGAGAAGACCCUAUGGAGCUUUAGACGCCCACCAACCGCGAAAAGCACCCCGACAACGGGCCUCCAGACAACGCGACCCUGGUAUAAACGUCUUCGGUUGGGGCGACCACGGGGGAAAACAAAGCCCCCGAGAGGAUUGGGGAUAUAACCCUAAAACCAAGAGCCACAGCUCUAAGUCACAAAAUAUUUGACCCACAAUGAUCCGGCUUACUGCCGAUCAACGGACCAAGUUACCCUAGGGAUAACAGCGCAAUCCUCUCCCAGAGUCCAUAUCGACGAGAGGGUUUACGACCUCGAUGUUGGAUCAGGACAUCCUAAUGGUGCAGCCGCUAUUAAGGGUUCGUUUGUUCAACGAUUAACAGUCCUACGUGAUCUGAGU